rnacentral:rRNA from 1 species
AGUACACACCGCCCGUAUUCCGGUUGAUCCUGCCGGACCCGACCGGUAUCGGGGUGGGGCUAAGCCAUGCAAGUCGUACGUCCUCCAGCCACGUGGGGGACGUGGCGCACGGCUCAGUAGUACGCAGCUAACCUACCCUAAGGAGGGGGAUAAUCCCGGGAAACUGGGGCUAAUCCCUAAUAGACCUGGGGCACUGGAAGGUCCCUAGGUUGAAACGGGUGAGCUGGCAUGCCGGUUCACCUGCCUUAGGAUGGGGCUGCGUCCGAUCAGGUAGUUGGUGGGGUAAUGGCCCACCAAGCCUAUGACCGGUGCGGGCUCUGAGAGGAGGAGCCCGGAGAUGGACCCUGAGACAAGGGUCCAGGCCCUACGGGGCGCAGCAGGCGCGAAACCUUCGCAAUGCCCGAAAGGGUGACGAGGCUACCCCGAGUGUCGUCCGCUAAGGACGGCUUUUGUCGGGUCUAAAAAGCCCGACGAAUAAGGGGAGGGCAAGUCUGGUGUCAGCCGCCGCGGUAAUACCAGCUCCCCGACUGGUCGGGACGAUUAUUGGGUCUAAAGCGUCCGUAGCCGGCCCUGUAUGUGAUCCGUUAAAUCCAGCGGCUCAACCGCUGGGCUGCGGAUCAUACUAUGGGGCUAGGGGACGGGAGAGGCCGGAGGUACUCCGCGGGUAGGGGUAAAAUCCGCUGAUCCGCGGAAGACCAACAGUGGCGAAGGCGUCCGGCAGGAUCAACCGGAA